UAAAGAGAACAUGAACCUGGCUUUACAAAGCAGAGCUCCAGCAGAACAGUUAGACAAUCAAGCUACCAGAAGUGAUAUCAACAGCACAAGAAGAGGCAACUGACAGCCUACAACCAUCCUCCAGAGAGUUCUGAUCUCGCAGAAAGAGCCCCUGAUCCCAAAAACCUUCACCAUUUUCUUCCAUGCAGAAAACUUUUUCUAAUGGACCCUCUUGGAAUCGGCAGAGUGGGCUGACUUGGUAGUUCCACCACCUUCAGAAUCCUGGGGAGGGGGAAGUGGCCCAAGCACGGGCAUUCUCUGUGGCAGUCCCUAAGUUGUGGAACUCCUUCCCUGCAGAGAUGCAUCUGGCACCGUCACUAUGCAGUUUUUGGUGAAUGCUGAAGACACGCCUCUUUAUCCUGGCCUUUAGCACUUGAGAGAGAGAUAUUUAAGGACUAGCCUACUUUUGUAAAUUGUUUUAAAUAGUUUUAAUGUUGUAUUUAAACUUUUAACCUACUCUGGGAUCUUUACGGUGAAGGGCAGGUAAUAAUAAUAAUACUAAGUACUUUAAACGUAUGCUGUAGAUGCAGCCUUUAAUGUGGAGAAACAUUAUAACCUUGCAAUGGAGUAAAGUGUACAGGUUAAUCUGGAACAUCUUUCUAGAUGGGGCCUCAUAUGAACUGUCUUCCUAAAAGAGGAUGUGCUCUCUAAUGUGGUGGCAGUCUUUACCGAUUAAUGAGUGGUUCCCGAAAGUGUCAGUCUGUGAUAUUCUUUCUAUCUGUGACCAGAAAUUUGUGUUGCUUGACUUGCUCAGGUUUUCACAUAUCCUGAAAUUAUGAAAACCUCACCUCCCACUAUAUAUGGUACAGCUUUUCCACUAAGCUUAAUAAGGCUUCUGGGCCUUCUGCUGCAUCAUAAGAAGAUCUUGAACAACUGAGACUUUUACAGCAGUUA